rnacentral:rRNA from 1 species
AGUGAACGCUGGCGGUAGGCCUAACACAUGCAAGUCGAACGGCAGCACAGUAAGAGUUUGCUCUUACGGGUGGCGAGUGGCGGACGGGUGAGGAAUACAUCGGAAUCUACUUUUUCGUGGGGGAUAACGUAGGGAAACUUACGCUAAUACCGCAUACGAUCUACGGGUGAAAGCAGGGGAUCUUCGGACCUUGCGCGAUUGAAUGAGCCGGUGUCGGAUUAGCUAGUUGGCGGGGUAAAGGCCCACCAAGGCGACGAUCCGUAGCUGGUCUGAGAGGAUGAUCGGCCACACUGGAACGGAGACACGGUCCAGACUCCUACGGGAGGCAGCAGUGGGGAAUAUUGGGCAAUGGGCGCAAGCCUGAUCCAGCCAUACCGCGUGGGUGAAGAAGGCCUUCGGGUUGUAAAGCCCUGUUGUUGGGAAAGAAAAGCAGCAGGUUAAUACCCCGCUGUUCUGACGGUACCCAAAGAAUAAGCACCGGCUAACUUCGUG